rnacentral:rRNA from 1 species
GUGAGGAAUAUUGCGCAAUGGAGGCAACUCUGACGCAGCCAUGCCGCGUGCAGGAAGAAGGCGCUACGCGUUGUAAACUGCUUUUAACCGGGAAGAAACCCCAGGACGUGUCCUGGGUUGACGGUACCGGAGGAAUAAGCACCGGCUAACUUCGUGCCAGCAGCCGCGGUAAUACGAAGGGUGCAAGCGUUAUCCGGAUUCAUUGGGUUUAAAGGGUGCGUAGGCGGAACGUUAAGUCAGUGGUGAAAUCCUGCAGCUUAACUGUAGACUUGCCAUUGAUACUGGCGCUCUUGAGUGCGCUUGAAGUGGGCGGAAUGUGGCGUGUAGCGGUGAAAUGCUUAGAUAUGGCACAGAACACCAAUUGCGAAGGCAGCUCACUAAGGCGAUACUGACGCUGAGGCACGAAAGCGUGGGGAUCGAACAGGAUUAGAUACCCCGGUAGUCC